GUGCGUAACGCGUAUACAAUCUGCCUUUCACUGGGGGAUAGCCCGAAGAAAUUUGGAUUAAUACCCCAUAGUAUAUAGGGACGGCAUCGUUUUUAUAUUAAAGCUCUGGUGGUGAAAGAUGAGUAUGCGUUCUAUUAGCUAGUUGGAGAGGUAACGGCUCCCCAAGGCUAUGAUAGAUAGGGGUUCUGAGAGGGAUGUCCCCCACACUGGUACUGAGAUACGGACCAGACUCCUACGGGAGGCAGCAGUGAGGAAUAUUGGACAAUGGUCGGAAGACUGAUCCAGCCAUGCCGCGUGCAGGAUGACUGCCUUAUGGGUUGUWAACUGCU
rnacentral:rRNA from 1 species